rnacentral:rRNA from 1 species
GGGACACGUGGUAUCCUGUCUGAAUAUGGGGGGACCAUCCUCCAAGGCUAAAUACUCCUGACUGACCGAUAGUGAACCAGUACCGUGAGGGAAAGGCGAAAAGAACCCCGGCGAGGGGAGUGAAAAAGAACCUGAAACCGUGUACGUACAAGCAGUGGGAGCCCCACCACUAAGCCAGUGGUGAACUCCACAUACGCAUCCUUUGCUGAGGAUACGGUUAACGGAGCGAAAGCGACGUUCAACCGCAAAAGAAGCAGAGGGGGCUUAGUGGUGGGGUGACUGCGUACCUUUUGUAUAAUGGGUCAGCGACUUAUAUUCUGUAGCAAGGUUAACCGCAUAGGGGAGCCGGAGGGAAACCGAGUCUUAACCGGGCGUUAAGUUGCAGGGUAUAGACCCGAAACCCGGUGAUCUAGCCAUGGGCAGGUUGAAGGUUGGGUAACACUAACUGGAGGACCGAACCGACUAAUGUUGAAAAAUUAGCGGAUGACCUGUGGCUGGGGGUGAAAGGCCAAUCAAACCGGGAGAUAGCUGGUUC